rnacentral:rRNA from 1 species
UACGGGGGGGGGCAAGCGUUGUUCGGAAUUACUGGGCGUAAAGGGCUCGUAGGCGGCCAACUAAGUCAGACGUGAAAUCCCCAGGCUCAACCUGGGAACUGCGUCUGAUACUGGAUGGCUUGAAUCCGGGAGAGGGAUGCAGAAUUCCAGGUGUAGCGGUGAAAUGCGUAGAUAUCUGGAGGAAUACCGGUGGCGAAGGCGGCAUCCUGGACCAACACUGACACUGAGGAGCGAAAGCCAGGGGAGCAAACGGG